GAUGAACGCUGGCGGCGUGCCUAAUACAUGCAAGUCGAGCGAACAGACGAGGAGCUUGCUCCUCUGACGUUAGCGGCGGACGGGUGAGUAACACGUGGAUAACCUACCUAUAAGACUGGGAUAACUUCGGGAAACCGGAGCUAAUACCGGAUAAUAUAUUGAACCGCAUGGUUCAAUAGUGAAAGACGGUUUUGCUGUCACUUAUAGAUGGAUCCGCGCCGCGUUAGCUAGUUGGUAAGGUAACGGCUUACCAAGGCAACGAUGCGUAGCCGACCUGAGAGGGUGAUCGGCCACACGGGAACUGAGACACGGUCCAGACUCCUACGGGAGGCAGCAGUAGGGAAUCUUCCGCAAUGGGCGAAAGCCUGACGGAGCAACGCCGCGUGAGUGAUGAAGGUCUUCGGAUCGUAAAACUCUGUUAUUAGGGAAGAACAAAUGUGUAAGUAACUAUGCACGUCUUGACGGUACCUAAUCAGAAAGCCACGGCUAACUACGUG
rnacentral:rRNA from 1 species